UACGAAGGGGGCUAGCGUUGCUCGGAAUCACUGGGCGUAAAGCGCACGUAGGCGGCUUUCUAAGUCAGGGGUGAAAUCCUGGAGCUCAACUCCAGAACUGCCUUUGAUACUGGAAAGCUUGAGUUCGGGAGAGGUGAGUGGAACUGCGAGUGUAGAGGUGAAAUUCGUAGAUAUUCGCAAGAACACCGGUGGCGAAGACGGCUCACUGGCCCGAUACUGACGCUGAGGUGCGAAAGCGUGGGGAGCAAACAGG
rnacentral:rRNA from 1 species